GCAGGCAUCUUUUCUGAGACAAAGUUGAAUGAGUAAAGUAAAAAACAACAAAAAACCCAUCCAUCGAUGAUAUUUUGACCUUGAUAAGAAGUCCAAAGGCAGUCCAAACAUACAUUUCUACCCCACUCCAUUUCUGCCUUCACCAGCCUCAGCUUGGAGAUGUGUGCACUGUUUAGCUGAAGUGCCCCACAAAUAAGGAAGCUUAUAACUGUGGCUCUCUUUGUCAUGUUAAAUCUUUUCACCUGGCUCAAGUCCAAAGUCAACACGCACAGCUUUAAAAUAAAACCGGAGGAGAUAACACCACACAGUGAGAAGGUGUGAGUUAAAGGUCUUGUCCUGAGAACCAAGGGUACAUCCUCCCACCCCCCCAACAUAGGAGGUCCUGGAUCUACUCACAUAGCCACACUUCAUCACUGGAGUCACUCUGGACCACCCUGUCUUUAACAAUGGAUCCAACUGCAAAGACUGGGGUUCUUUUUGUAACAUUUUCUCUCAUUCUGUUCAGAAUCCAUCUGAAUUUAAAAAUUCCCAUCCAUGUAGCCAGUCACUGCCCUGGGAUCUGUGCCCAUGAUAGUCCCCAUCCCCUGGAGCUCAGUAGAUAGAAAAGGGACACUAGGAUGCUUUUAAUUUAAUUUGUUUAUUUUGGGGUGCUGGGAUUGAACCCAGGGCCUCGUGCAUGCUAAAAACAUGCUCUCCCACUGAGCUAUACCCUCAGCCUUGAUAAGAUGCUUUUAGAUAUUCUAGUUAAGAGAUGUUCUUGUUUUGCCUUCAUAUACCCACUUUCUCAGAGAAAAUAAACAAACAAAAAUCUGCUACAACUUUGGAGAAGAAGUUUUCCAUGUUAGUUUCUGUUGCAAAAUUGUUUUGCUUAUUCUUCAGAGUGAUAUUGAGGCUCCCUUGACCCCAACAUCUUGCUUAUAAUUGGAAUCCUAUGCUGUUGGAUUGGUUGACUCACAGAUCCUUCCCUGAACCUUAUAAAAGUAUCUAUCUUCCCUUGGAACCAAGAUACUUGGCAAAGCAGUAGGCUUUUUCUUUUUCUUUUCCUCUAAUUGUUCAAGGCAACAUUUGUGGUCAGAUGUGACAUAUGCUUUAUGCCAUAAAUCAGCAUAAAAAGUCCUAAACAGACA